rfam:Triticum aestivum genome assembly, contig: Triticum_aestivum_CS42_TGACv1_scaffold_093399_2AL
UCAUUCGGAUUCGCCAUCAUACGUCCAACCGUGCAUUUGAUAUGCAUAUAUAUGCAUCACGAGCCAUGGUUGGGCUGUAUGAUGGCGAUACCGAUUGG